rnacentral:tRNA from 1 species
AUAAAAAUAGCUUAAAUAAGCUUUUGGGUUCAUACCUCAAAUAUAAAGGAAAUACCUUUUUUUUAAA